UGAGCAUCUUACCUCAGACCCGCCCUACAUCAGCUGUAAUAGUCCGACUUCUACAAAAAUGCGCAAAUCAUUCGUGAUCCAGCUUCACCUACAGCAUAAAGCACAAGACACACUCAGCUGCUUGUGAAGCUGGUCCUCUGAGCAGAUAUCUGGACUGAAACACUCAAGACAUCAAGGGAACAUACAGUUCCAGCAUGAAGCCCAGGAGGCGUCUGACCUCUGUGGAUCUGCUCCCUACGAUUGUAGAACUCCAGGAGAGCCAGAGUCUGGAUGACUACACAGACUCCAUACGGGAACUGUCCCAACCCACCUACCCUCUCAGCGGACCCCUCCGGGGCUCCCGUCUGUCACCGCUGCGCAUGACCAAAUACCCCAGCAUGUCACUGGCCACCGGCAGUUCAGUCCUGGCACACAAGCCCUGGGCACUCCCUGGACCUGACAACGUAUCACUAACCUUGACAGACUCAAAAGGCCCAGCGAGUUCAAAUCAGGACCCAUUGGACUGGCUGUUUGCACAAGCGCAGACCGACCCAGAAGAUGUGUGCAUGAUAUGAUGGAGACAAAAAUGAUGCAAUGUCACAGCCUUGGGAAUAUGCUGCAAGCUGCAAUGAAUUAUUCUUAUUUUCAGUGUAUUAAAGUGUGAUUUCUGAGAUUAGAAAUAGGGGUAAGUUGUCAGAAGGGCUAAAAAAUAGGUUUCACAAAUGUCAGGUAUAUACUAUAAGUAUAUUAAUUAUAGUAUCUGUUAGCCAAAUGCAAUGAUAUUUCUAUUUUUGUUGUUUCAUGAAUUAAAAUUUUGAAGUUUAGGGUUAGAAAGAUAUAUAUAUUUUUAAAGAAAUUAAUACUUUUAUUUAGCAAAGAUGCAUUACACUGAUGCAAAAUGACAAUAAAGACAUCUAUAACCUUACAAAGGUAUUCCACUUUGCAAGAAACUUUCAAAAACAUAAAAAUCUUAGUGAUCAAAUCUUUUGAAUAGUAUUGUGUCUAUUAUUUGUCUUGUAUAUUUGCAAUUUUACUGUUAAACUUUUGCUGUUUAAUAUUAAGUUUAAAAUAUGUAAAUGUGUUAAAUGAACCGGCUAUACUGAUUUCAGCUUUGCAUUAAAAGACUGCACAGAACAGCAGAAGAAAGCAAUUACAUGUCAGCAGCAUGCCCUAAUAAACAAAAAGUUGUUAGGUUUCGUUUUCCUCUAAGCCACUGCAGUUCUCAGAGACUCUGGUCAUGAUUUAUUUAACCAAAAAAGAAUGCCGUCUUCCUGCCAAGCUUUACAGAUCUUGCACAACACUGUUAGACCAAAUCACUGCAACACACUGCAAGUACACUGUCAAGAGCUGAGAGCUCUGAGUUUGCACAGAGUUACUGGUAAUGUAAACACAACUUA